rnacentral:rRNA from 1 species
UUGGGUUUAAAGGGAGCGUAGAUGGAUGUUUAAGUCAGUUGUGAAAGUUUGCGGCUCAACCGUAAAAUUGCAGUUGAUACUGGAUAUCUUGAGUGCAGUUGAGGCAAGCGGAAUUCGUGGUGUAGCGGUGAAAUGCUUAGAUAUCACGAAGAACUCCGAUUGCGAAGGCAGCCUGCUAAGCUGCAACUGACAUUGAGGCUCGAAAGUGUGGGUAUCAAACAGGAUUAGAUACCCUGGUAGUCCACACGGUAAACGAUGAAUACUCGCUGUUUGCGAUAUACUGCAAGCGGCCAAGCGAAAGCGUUAAGUAUUCCACCUGGGGAGUACGCCGGCAACGGUGAAACUCAAAGGGAUUGACGGGGGCCCGCACAAGCGGAGGAACAUGUGGUUUAAUUCGAUGAUACGCGAGGAACCUUACCCGGGCUUAAAUUGCAGAUGAAUUACGGUGAAAGCCGUAAGCCGCAAGGCAUCUGUGAAGGUGCUGCAUGGUUGUCGUCAGCUCGUGCCGUGAGGUGUCGGCUUAAGUGCCAUAACGAGCGCAACCCUUGUUGUCAGUUACUAACAGGUUCCGCUGAGGACUCUGACAAGACUGCCAUCGUAAGAUGUGAGGAAGGUGGGGAUGGCGUCAAAUCAGCACGGCCCUUACGUCCGGGGCUACACACGUGUUACAAUGGGGGGUACAGAGGGCCGCUACCACGCGAGUGGAUGCCAAUCCCCAAAACCUCUCUCAGUUCGGACUGGAGUCUGCAACCCGACUCCACGAAGCUGGACUCGCUAGUAAUCGCGCAUCAGCCACGGCGCGGUGAAUACGUUCCCGGGCCUUGUACACACCGCCCGUCAAGCCAUGGGAGCCGUGGGUACCUGAAGUGCGUAACCGCGAGGAGCGCCCUAGGGUAAAACUCGUGA